rnacentral:rRNA from 1 species
GAAUAUUGGACAAUGGGCGAAAGCCUGAACCAGCCAUCCCGCGUGAAGGAUGAAGGCCCUCUGGGUUGUAAACUUCUUUUGUCAGGGAAGAAACUUUCGGAUUCAUCCGGAACUGACGGUACCUGAAGAAUAAGCACCGGCUAACUCCGUGCCAGCAGCCGCGGUAAUACGGAGGGUGCAAGCGUUAUCCGGAUUUACUGGGUUUAAAGGGUGCGCAGGCGGACUUUUAAGUCAGUGGUGAAAGCCCGGGGCUCAACUCCGGAAUUGCCAUUGAUACUGGAAGUCUUGAGUACAGUUGAGGUGGGCGGAAUGUGUCAUGUAGCGGUGAAAUGCUUAGAUAUGACACAGAACACCGAUUGCGAAGGCAGCUUGCUAAACUGUAACUGACGCUCAGGCACGAAAGCGUGGGUAGCGAACAGG